rnacentral:rRNA from 1 species
AUUGAACGCUGGCGGCAUGCCUUACACAUGCAAGUCGAACGGCAGCACGGGAGCUUGCUCCUGGUGGCGAGUGGCGAACGGGUGAGUAAUACAUCGGAACGUACCCUGAAGUGGGGGAUAACGUAGCGAAAGUUACGCUAAUACCGCAUAUUCUGUGAGCAGGAAAGAGGGGGAUCGCAAGACCUCUUGCUUUAGGAGCGGCCGAUGUCGGAUUAGCUAGUUGGUGAGGUAAAGGCUCACCAAGGCGACGAUCCGUAGCGGGUCUGAGAGGAUGAUCCGCCACACUGGGACUGAGACACGGCCCAGACUCCUACGGGAGGCAGCAGUGGGGAAUUUUGGGACAAUGGGCGCAAGCCUGAUCCAGCCAUGCCGCGUGAGUGAAGAAGGCCUCGGUUGUAAGACGUCUUUCGGUUCGGGGGUAAGGGAAAAGUUUAGGUAC